UAAAUAUUGGUCCAAAUCACUUAUAAUUAGUGGAAGAGUGAAGUUUAUUGGAUGAUAAAUCAAGAAACAUAAAUUUUGAACUGGUUAUCCAUGUAACAGAAUGAAAAGAAAAGCUGACUGAAUUUUUCAAACAGUCAUACUGCAAUUUUAGACAUCUAAAUUGCUUUUCUGCUUCAGGCAAUGACAAACAAGUUAAAUUUUGCAUUUGGAAGAAUAUUUGAGAAGGACUUUGCGUCUUGUUCCGUUUUUGUUUCUGCUCGAUCUUGAGAUCUGCCAAUGACAGCCAUGCAACAUUUGUUGCCUUGAUAUACAACAUGGUUGUACUGAUAACAAUGCAGUAAUUGCAGGCACCCAUGCCGGAUUGCAGCAGUGGUGUGUUGGUCCUAGGCUGCAAUAUACAUUUCUGCUAUUGUGUGAUCUUUAAGUUCUUGGAACAUUUUCUUAGAAAGUCUAAGUCAAAUCUUCUGACCUAUUAGUCUGAGGAUAUUGUGGAAGAAAACUGACGCUGUUCUAGAUAGAGUCAUGUCUUUUAUUACAAAGAGGGAGACUGAAAAUCAACACUUGGACUGUAGAAAAAUACUACAAUUUUACAUGGAAAUGGAAAGGAGUUGAAAAUAGAUUUCCCCUGCUGAAGCUGCCAAUUAAUUACUAAGAAGAGGAAAUCCUAAGAGCUUAUGAUGAGACUUAAAGCUCAAAGUCUGAUGCUAUCUCCUGAAGAAGAAGAUAAAGCCAGAAAAUUCUUGUGAUUGCUCUGUAGCAGCCAUAUGAAAAAUGAAAGACAAAAACAACAGGAAAAAAAAGCAUUUUGGAAUGCUUUCCAGGUAAACAGAAAUUUUAUGGAUGAGGAAACUGAUGCCUAGAAAUAAGAGACGUCCUUGUGAAGUCACUCAGCACUGACAGCAGAGCUGGGAACACACCACCAGCUAUGGUGCUACACUGGCUUUUCAAUCAUAACUUCUGACUUUUUUGAAGCAAUAAAUGCAUAGAAUGUAAAAUUCAAAUUGUAUGUAUAAAAACGUGGCAAGUUCUGUCAAUAUUGCUAAUAGUAAAAAUCACUAG
rnacentral:lncRNA from 1 species